rnacentral:rRNA from 1 species
UGGGCGUAAAGCGCGCGUAGGCGGUUUCUUAAGUCUGAUGUGAAAGCCCCCGGCUCAACCGGGGAGGGUCAUUGGAAACUGGGGAACUUGAGUGCAGAAGAGGAGAGUGGAAUUCCAUGUGUAGCGGUGAAAUGCGCAGAGAUAUGGAGGAACACCAGUGGCGAAGGCGGCUCUCUGGUCUGUAACUGACGCUGAUGUGCGAAAGCGUGGGGAUCAAACAGGAUUAGAUACCCUGGUAGUCCACGCCGUAAACGAUGAGUGCUAAGUGUUAGGGGGUUUCCGCCCCUUAGUGCUGCAGCAAACGCAUUAAGCACUCCGCCUGGGGAGUACGACCGCAAGGUUGAAACUCAAAGGAAUUGGCGGGGACCCGCACAAGCGGUGGAGCAUGUGGUUUAAUUCGAAGCAACGCGAAGAACCUUACCAAAUCUUGACAUCCUCUGACCGCCAUGGAGACAUGGCUUCCCUUCGGGGCAGAGAGACAGGUGGUGCAUGGUUGUCGUCAGCUCGUGUCGUGAGAUGUUGGGUUAAGUCCCGCAACGAGCGCAACCCUUAAACUUAGUUGCCAGCAUUCAGUUGGGCACUCUAAGUUGACUGCCGGUGACAAACCGGAGGAAGGUGGGGAUGACGUCAAAUCAUCAUGCCCCUUAUGAUUUGGGCUACACACGUGCUACAAUGGACAGGUAACAAAGGGCAGCGACGCCGCAAGGCCAAGCGAAUCCCAUAAAACUGUUCUCAGUUCGGAUUGGAGUCUGCAACUCGACUCCAUGAAGCUGGAAUCGCUAGUAAUCGUG